CGACCUCAUGGAUACUAGUCUGGUUCAUAACUGCUGCACCACAAUGGGAACUCCUCGCUUACAUUUUGAGUUUACUAAUAUUUAAUAAAAGCAAUUGUCCUUUGAACAUUGUCAUAAAAAGUUACACUAACCUAUUAUUUCCAGUGAGACCAUUUCCUUUAGCAGCCACUUUAAGACAGUAUGCUUUUCAUCUGCACUGUUCCAGGGUUUCUGAGCACAGAUAUCUUGAAAGAUGUAAUAGGUAUUAUUUCUUGAUAACUGCUUUCUUUAAAGAUGAACAAACUGAGAGUUGAGCAAGCUCAAGCAUUUUACUCAAAGUCCCACAUCUGGUGCCUGGGCCACGGAAGGGGAGCCCUGGUUUAUUUCUAGAGCCCGUGUCCCUUCCAUGUGCCGCCCUCUCCCUUCCUUUCUCCUCCCACCUCCAUUUCAGUUUCUGCUCACCCUUGGCUCAGCCCUCCCACCUGAUCACUUUUUCCCCACCUGGGACUGAAGUUUAGAAGUGGCAGCAUCCAUUCUCAAGUUGUCUGGGCAUUAACUCCAGUCUCAGCCUGUCUCCAUGCCUUUAGAACAAUGCACCACUAUUUCAGGAAAGAGUUAAAGAUCCAACAGUCUCUCUUACAAGAUUUCAAAGAGGAGGUUGCUGUUCUAGGUAAAGCAAACUUGAAGUGGUCUAUAUACUGAGAGAAGUUUUACUCGCAGUUUAAGGGUGGAGACUGGUGAGUGUCAGCAUCUGCCUCCUAGGAAGGCUUGUGCUUCUCACGGCUCACCCUAAUAAGCCUGGAGGUCUGUCGUUUCCAUACACCUCUUCAAUGAGGUAAUCAACGAGAGUCCACUGAUGGAAGCUUGGGGUGCACUCUUCGGCUGUGAAAGAAUGGACUCAUCAUCCCAGAUGACAGUGGGAGAAAUGUUUGAGAAGUCCUGUGGUGUCAGAGCACGCACAGUUUCGGUCUCAGCUGCCUAUGAAGUGGUACUCUCUCAGCAACAGCAACAGCAGGUAACAAUACAAAAAAAUACUUUGGAUGUAACAGGGACUUCUUGAAAAGGUCGAAAACCUCCCUCGCAAAGCCCUUAAAUAGACUAGGCAAAUACAGAGGAACUUAAUAGCAAGGGACUGGCUGCUACUCUUGCACCACCAGCACGACCCCAGUGCUACAGUUUUAGGGCAGCUGGAAGCACAUCCUACACAGGAGCCCCGCCCCCCAACUUUAUCUUUGCCAAGUUUCUAGGAGAAGCCAUUGACCUUAGGGUCAAGAGGCAAACCGACAAACACUGUGAGCCAGCUUAUCUUAAAUGCCCUUUCCCCAGUCUCCCAACCAGCCCCUUCCAUUUAUACAGUAGAUGAAGUUCUAAGGGCAGCCCCAGACCGCUGCCAUCUUUAGAAGGACUGAUCUCUUCAUUUAGCCACUCUCCUGUCUUACCUGAGGCCUUGAGCCAAGAGAAUUCCAGCCCUAACUGUCUUACUGCAUUCAUAUUUAAUAAAAAUACGUAAAUUUUUGGCCACACCCAUGGCAUGCGGAAGAACCUGGGCCUAGGAUCACACCCAAGCCAUAGCAGUGACACCAAAUCUUUAACUACUAGGCCACCAAGGAACUCCAAAAUAAAUGUUUUUAAAACCCUGAGAUCUUAGUAUCUAAUCAUGAUUUUCAACUCAGUCUUGUCUAUUCACAUGGAUAGUUUUUCAGGACCUCCAACCCACUGUUCCUUCUAGUUUUGCAGAAUCCCUCACCCCUUCCCAUGGUCUCACUUCCCUAUUUACCCACCAUUAAUGUCCUUUCCUCUUUUGUUUUUUGUUUAUGGCUGCACCUGUGGCACAUGGAAGUUCCCAGACUAGGGUGCAAUUGGAGCUGCAGCUACCGCCUAUGCCACUGCUACAGCAACACCAAAUCUGAGCCACAGCUAUGACCUAUGCAGCUUGUGGCAACUCCAGAUCUUUAACCCACUGUGUGAGGCAGGAAUCAAACCUGCAACCUCACAGAGACAACAUUGGGUCCUUAACCCACCGAGCCACAAUGAAAACUCCUCUCUCUUUUUUUUUUUUUUUUUAGGGCCACACCCUUGGCCUGUGGGGGCUCCCGGGCUAGGAGUCAAUUGGAGCUACAGCUGCUGGCCACAGCCACAUCAGAUCCGAGCCACAUCUGCAACCUACACCAUAGCUAACAGCAAUACCGGAUCCUUAACCCACUGAGUGAGGCCAGGGAUCAAACCUGUGCCCUUGUGGAUGGUAGUCAGAUUCGUUUCCUUUGGGCCACGAUGGGAACUCCCUCUUCUCCUCUUUUGAGUUAAGUUGGCAAAACUUUAAAUCUUAUUACACCAAAUUACCCACCAAUGUUGCACCUAAACUUAAGUAGCUGUUGGAACUGGAUGAAACCACAUAACCAGUGACUAGCCUCACUUUAAAUCAUGAACACAAAUCUGAAAUGAGAUUCAAUACUUCCCACAAUUCUGUAUUUCUCUAGCUAAUUUAUUUUCCUACUCUGCGACAACAGUUUCACACCACCUUUCUUUUGAAAUAUCCCCUACUCCUCCCCUCACUCAGUGACCUCACCACACAUUUUAUUGAGAAAAUAGACGCAAAUGAGAAUGACUUUAGCCUCCACUAACUUCUCUACCUAGUGAAUCCGCAUGACUUGCAUUUGCAUUUAUUUUGAUAGAAAUUUCCCUAUACAUAUUCUAGGACAAUCAUCAACUUUCCCUACUUUGACAAUUAGAGAGUAGGAACCCCCAGACUCAAACCAGAUAGACUCAGAGAUGGAAGAAUCAGGGUGCUAUGACCACAGAGGUGAAGAAAUUCCAACCACCACACCUUACUACUCCCUUCCAUAGAUGUGUUCCAACUCUGGAGGGAGCAUCAAAUUAUCUCCAUCACUGGGACUUAUGAAAAUAAAUAUAAGAUACUGUACAUAUACAGGAUUGUCAUUCAAGAUCCAGAAACCUACACGACACCAACUUAUAUUCCUUUCCUUUCAGAGAACUUGGGCAAUAAACUAUACAUUAAAAUUUUAUGUAAUAAGCUCUUUUAUUUAUACUUUUAAUCAGUUUGUGCUUAUUUUUGUUUCAUUUUUACUGCUAAUACAAGUAUAAAUUGAUUCAGUCUUUUUAGAAAUCAAGUAUGCAGUAUACAUUUUACAUUAAAGCCUUAAAACUGUUUAUUUCCUUUGAAUUCAUCAUCUAUUACUAGGAAUCUAAGGAAAGAGAGGGACAGAAACAUCUCCAUCCUACGAUUGUGAAUAAGAGAAAAAAUUUGGAUAUAAUAUAGAUGCCUAUGGGGUAAUGAUUAAGAGUAUUACCAAUAAAAUCAGUGUGCACACACAUCAAUAAAAAUAAUGUGCAUUCAUUAAAAUGAUGUUUAUAAAAACUAUUAAAAUCUAAGAGACUGUUCUUCAAUUCAGAUUAAUUGAGCCAAGAUUUACUGCACUUCCUAUUUGCCAGGCACUGAACUAAGCUCUGAGAAUUAGGUGAUGUUCAGCACAG
rnacentral:lncRNA from 1 species